rnacentral:rRNA from 1 species
AUGAACGCUAGCGGCAGGCUUAACACAUGCAAGUCGAGGGGUAACAGGAAAGCUUGCUUUCGCUGACGACCGGCGCACGGGUGCGUAACGCGUAUGCAACCUACCUUUUACUGGGGGAUAGUCAAGAGAAAUUUUGAAUAAUAUCCCAUACGACCAUUUAUUUGCAUAAAUAGAUGAAGAAAACUCCGGUGGUAAAAGAUGGGCAUGCGUCCUAUUAGUUUGUUGGUGAGGUAACGGCUCACCAAGACUACGAUAGGUAGGGGUCCUGAGAGGGAGACCCCCCCAACUGGUACUGAGACACGGGACCAGACUCCUACGGGAGCAGCAGUGAGGAUAUGG